GCCGAGGGGACGCUCACAAUCAGACGUUUAUCUUCAACUGGAACGUUUGCGGUUUGUAAAGGGCUGAAACAAAAAACAUAAGUACGGUCAACUGGCAUAGCUGGUUUCUGCAGCAGCAAGACAUAAAGAUAAAGAAACGUCGGUUCUCGUGACUUGUUUUCCCAAGGUGGAUCAAUGACGAUGACAUCAAAUCUCCUCCCACCUAUUUGGGAGAGAAGUGGCACAGAAAUUGGAACUACUGCUGCCCAGGCCUGGAUGUUCUCCGUCACCUUGGAGAACAGGUCGACAUGUGAAGCACC